rnacentral:rRNA from 1 species
UACGUAGGUGGCGAGCGUUAUCCGGAAUUACUGGGUGUAAAGGGCGCGUAGGCGGGGAUGCAAGUCAGAUGUGAAAUACCGGUGCUUAACACCGGGGCUGCAUCUGAAACUGUGUUUCUUGAGUGUCGGAGAGGGAAGCGGAAUUCCCAGUGUAGCGGUGAAAUGCGUAGAUAUUGGGAGGAACACCAGUGGCGAAGGCGGCUUUCUGGACGACAACUGACGCUGAGGCGCGAAAGCGUGGGGAGCAAACAGG